GUUCCUUCAGCAGUACAUAUAGCAAAAUUGAAAUGAUACAGAACAGAUUAGUAGUGUCCCUGUGCAAGGAUGAAAGGCCAACUCAUGAAGUACUCCAUAUUUUU